CAAGAUGGCUGCGCCCACUGGCUUCGCUGGGGGGGAGGGGCUGUUACUCACACGCGCCGGUCUGGGUUCAGAUCAAUUCUGUUCUCUGGUCUCCUGAGACCCUUGAUUUAUAGGGUCCCCGCGGAUAGAAGCUUUCCCCCCCAUCAGCGGGUUUCCACUGAACCAGCAGCAGGAGUCCUGGAUGAUCCCCCAGUUGCGCAGCCCCUCCCCCGCUCCUUCCCGACCUGCACAGCAGCGAUCUCAGACUCUAGGAGAGGGAGUGAUGUUCUCUCCUACCGUUCCAGUGCCUCCAAGGCUAGUCAUCAGCUACACCCAGAUUGAGGGACAUUCUACAAAAUCACUGACAAGUAGUCAUCAAAAGCAUCAAACUUAGAAAAGACAAAGAAAAACUGAGGAGCUGGCACAGAUUGGAGGAACUUAAAGAAAACAGAAGAACUAAAUGAGAUGUGGGAGCCAGGACUGGAUUGCCUAACCAGAAAACUGGGGAAAUCCAGACAAGUUAUGUAUAGCUUCUAAAACCCUUGAGAAGUUCCUGAGUGAUGAGGAUGAUAGGAGCAUCUUCGAUUAUUCGCAACAAGCCCCUUUCAACCAUACCUGGGUUUAUGCUAAUAAGGAAAGUGAGCUCAGAGAGAGUUACAGUUUAUUUCCAUCAAAAGCUCAAUGAGAAUUUGCAAGAUAAAAGGCCAGUGCUUAUUAAUGACUGAGAGAGUAAUUUAAAGCAACAUGAUGAUCCCGCGGACAUGCUCCAGAUACAGCCCAGCUCAUCUGAAUUCAGCAUGGCUGAAACAACAAGGUCUAGCUGGCAGUUAAAAAGCCUCCAGUUUUAUUCCCCUGAAAGGCUUUUCAGAGGCUGACCCUGCCAACUUAUACUAAUGUGUUCAAUCCUACACAUCAUUCAGGUAGCAGCCUCUUAAACACAAGCAGGCUAGAGUCUGUCAUUAACUUCCGAAUUCUCUCUACUUCCAUCUUGACUUGGCCACACAGACUACAGGAGAGGUAGAUCCAGAGAGACACUGUUCUAGAGGAUGUUGAUGCUCUCACACAAAUAUCUGCCCUUCUUGGAGGAUGAUACAUCUGGAGAUGGAGAUCAAAAAGAUAGCUGAGGCAGUGCCACCUGGCCGGUGAGGCUAUAUCCUUUAUCACAUCACAAAUCAUCCUAAAUUAUUUACCAGUUGCUUUUCCUACCAGACUGCACCAGUUCUGGAGCCAGACCCUCUGGGUUAGAGCCCGGCUUCAUCACUCUUGGGCAAGUCACUUAUCCUCUCUCUAACUCAGUUUCCACAUCUGUAACAUGAACACAAUGCUCACCUCCUGGGGUUGUUGUAACGAUUAACUGAACCAAUUCUUAUAGAACAAAGUCUAUCAAAUACUUGGGGAUGAUGGUGGUGGUGUUGAAAGGGAUCAGAUCUUUGUGUCUGUACUCCCAAUGACUCACCAAGUGCUUAACCCACAGGAGAGACUUGAAAACCAUGCUAAUUUUGUAGCCUUGGGCAAGGCAUUUAAACUCUCUGAGCAGAAAAGAAACUUGUGGUGGGGAUGCGUAGGAGAGAGAGAGCACACACAGAUGAAACAAGAUAGGCAAAUAUCAGCAAUUCUUGAGUCUGGGUUUCAUGGGGUUUCAUUACACUAUUUUCUCAAUUCUUAUGUAUGUUUAAAUAUCCAACAGUAAAAUUUAAGUGAAA
rnacentral:lncRNA from 1 species